AUGCUUCCAAUGAGUGUCAAACUUUUAGUUAACUUACCUCCUCCAUCUCCAUUGUCAUUUGGAAUCAUGAGAAUUCAUAAAGCUAUAAUAUUAAUCAUUAUUGUCCUUUUCUUAAUUCUAAUAGUACUCCAUCUUUCAAGUUCUAGGCAUAUUUCUUUAGGUGGUAAAGAAGAGAUGAUGGAAGAAAGAAGAAGAACAAAUCUCCCAUUUUCCUAUCCACAAACCUUUGAAGAAUUCAAAAACAAAAAGGUGAGUAGAUUUCAAAUUGUUUCACAUACAUCUACUCCAGGUGGACCCAAUCCACUUCAUAACUAA